rnacentral:tRNA from 1 species
AUAAAUAUAGCUUAUGAAGCAUCGGUUUUGUAAAUCGAAGAUGUGCAAAACUAUUUAUAU